AAAAAAGCAAGGACCUAUUGCCUUUUUUGUGAAUGAGUCUCUUGUAAACUUUAGGGACAUCAAAAAUUGCAUUGUUAUUUCCAUAUAGGUUGUAUCAUGU